UGGCGAGUGGCGGACGGGUGAGUAACACGUAGGAAUCUGCCCAGCAAGAGGGGGACAACCCGAGGAAACUCGGGCUAAUACCGCAUAUAUUCUGAGGAAUAAAGCUGGGGUAAAACCUGGUACUUUUGGAGGAGCCUGCGUCCGAUUAGCUAGUUGGUUAGGUAAAGGCUGACCAAGGCGACGAUCGGUAGCUGGUCUGAGAGGAUGAUCAGCCACACUGGGACUGAGACACGGCCCAGACUCCUACGGGAGGCAGCAGUGGGGAAUAUUGGACAAUGGGGGCAACCCUGAUCCAGCAAUGCCGCGUGUGUGAAGAAGGCCUUCGGGUUGUAAAGCACUUUAGGUUGGGAAGAAGGUUAUUAGUUUAAGAGAUGAAUAACUUGACUGUACCAGCAGAAUAAGCACCGGCUAACUCUGUGCCAGCAGCCGCGGUAAUACAGAGGGUGCGAGCGUUAAUCGGAUUUACUGGGCGUAAAGGGCGCGUAGGUGGGUUGAUUAAGUGAUAUGUGAAAUCCCCGGGCUUAACCUGGGAAUGGCAUUUUAUACUGGUCAACUGGAGUGCAGUAAAGGUAAAGGAUUUCCGGUGUAGCGGUGAAAUGCUUAAAUAUCGGAAGGGACACCAGUGGCCAAGGCGUCUACCUGGACUGAAACUGACCCUGAAGCCUGGAGCGAGGGACAACAGGAUAAAUACCCUGGUAGUCCCGCUGUAA
rnacentral:rRNA from 1 species